CAACAUUGGUAUUACAGUAUUGGUAUGUUUACUUGUAGGUCAUCAAGGACUUGGUGAGCCAGAAAUAUGAAGAGGAAAAGGAGAAAACAAAAAAGGACCUCCAGAGCGUCAUUGCUGUUAUUUUAACAGCUGAUAUGUGGACAUCCAUUAAUAUGGAGGCAUAUCUUGCCGUUACUAUUGCCACUAUGUGGACAAAGAAAGCCAUGAACUCUGUUCAUCAGUCUUGGGAGUGCAGCAUUUCCCUCAGAAACACACUGCAGAAAACAUGGCCACAGUUAAAAGGAGCCUCACGGAGGAGUGGGGCAUAGCAGGCAAAGUCAGGUGUCUUGUCACUGAUGCAGCAGCAAACAUGAUUGCAUGUGCUCGAAUGCUGCAAGUACGGCAAACCAUUUGCAUUGCCCAUUCCAUAAAUUUAAUUGUAAGAAAAUCAUGUGAUCAAAUCUCAACACCAACAGAACUACGCAACAAAGCACGGCAAAUUGUGACAUACUUUCGAUCAAGCACCACGGCCAAGGAAAAGCUCUCUCAAAUGCAGCAACAGCUGGGAACACCAUUGCAUAAAUUAAUAAAUGAGGUGCCGACACGAUGGAACAGCACCUACCACAUGCUGGAGAGACUGACUGAGCAGAAGGAGGCAGUCUGGGUGUCACUGGCCUCAUUAAAAACUGAUCUCACUCCACUGACUCCAGAAGAAUUUGAAAUCAUUGAAGAGAUGCUCAGGGUGCUUGCUCCUUUUUACCAAGCCGAAAAAAGAGUCUCGGGGUCAAAGGUUAUUCCAUUGAUGAGAAUGAUCCACAUUGAGCUUCAACAUCAAUCUUCAACGGUGACAAAACCCACUGCUAAACAGCUGGCUGAAAAUCUGUCAAAGCGGCUAACCGAGUCCAUCUGUAACAUGGAGUCGCUCAGUGUGAUGUCGCUGGCGACAUUGUUGGACCCCAGGUUUAAAACUGCUGGCUUUUUUAGUCCACUGAAAGCAACUGAAGCUGUCAAGAGACUGAAGUCAGAGUGUGCUGCUGAAAUGAGGAGCCAUGAGCCUGACCCAGCAGUAGAGGAGCCUAGCACUUCACGUGGAUCAGAACACAGUUCAGGUAUGAAAACACAUUUCUUUGUGAAUAUUUGUUUAUUUCUGCGGAAGUUUGUCAUGUGAUAGUAAACCAAUGAUUAACAGACUUAUUUCCAAUUUAUUUGUUAGGACACAAUCUCUGGAGGCACCUUGAUAUGGAGGUUGAGGAGAGCAGGAUGACCUCUAAUACUACAGCCAAUUCCAUAACUGAAGUCCAACGCUACCUGGCUGAAAGAAAUGCACCGAGAACACAAGACCCAUUACAAUAUUGGAAAAAUAACCAGAAUUUAGAUCCACACCUUUAUCAACUCGCACUUCAAUUCUUAUGCACACCAUCUUCAUCUGUACCCUGUGAAAGAGUGUUUUCUAAGGCAGGGGAACUGGUGUCUAAGAGGAGAAAUGGCCUUGGAGCAAACACACUGCACAAACUUUUGUUCCUCAAUAAAAAUGCAUAAAUGAAUCCAUAUUUAGUCUUUUAUUUUGUAUGAUCUAACUCAGAGGUUAACACAUUUACAGAAGUUAAAACUUUUACUUCUGAUUUUUAUUAGACACAUUCAGAAGAUUUAACAUGCCAACUCAUUGUAACAUUUACACAAAGGUUAUAAGCAAAUGUUAAACUCCUUUCAUAAACAACUUAACUUAAAUUGAGUAAAUUAAAUUACAUAAUGAUAUAUUUUGAUUACAGGAAAUUAAAUUUAGCACACCUGGUGUGGGUUUGCAGCAUGUAAGCUUUUCCAUCUUAUUUACCUGCAAUGAUUUUAGAAAUACUGCAGGUGUCGCUAUUGAGUGACCAACACAGUGUCAAUACAGUUUGUCUAGUGUGUCAAUACACUCCUUGAGGUAUCAUCAUUCCAUCACUAGUAACAACGCCUUUUGCUGUGGCUUUCCCAAGUCCAUUACAUAAUUGUAAACUGUUCUGAAGUCAGAUUUCACCUCAGUGCUUACAGGUUUAUGCUAUUGUGUCUAUUACAAAAGCUGACUCUGGAACUAGGCCUUCUCUGAGCUGCAGGUGAAGAUGAUUGAUACUCAGCAGAAGGUGAAGCUGGCUGACUUGCAGAUCGAUCAGCUAACACGCGCUCAGAAACAUGCUAAGCUCACGCACGCUGAGAUCGCCAAGCUACCUGAUAACACGCGACUCUAUGAGGGGAUCGGCCGGAUGUUCAUUCUUCAGUCAAAGGA